UGCCCUUAGGUACGGAAUAACUCAGAGAAAUUUGUGCUAAUACCGUAUGAUGCCGAAAGACCAAAGAUUUAUCGCCUAAGGAUGAGCCCGCGUAAGAUUAGCUAGUUGGUAAGGUAAAAGCUUACCAAGGCGACGAUCUUUAGCUGGUCUGAGAGGAUGAUCAGCCACACUGGGACUGAGACACGGCCCAGACUCCUACGGGAGGCAGCAGUGGGGAAUAUUGGACAAUGGGCGAAAGCCUGACGCAGCCAUGCCGCGUGUAUGAUGAAGGUCUUAGGAUUGUAAAAUACUUUCACCGGUGAAGAUAAUGACUGUAGCCGGAGAAGAAGCCCCGGCUAACUUCGUGCCAGCAGCCGCGGUAAUACGAAGGGGGCUAGCGUUGCUCGGAAUUACUGGGCGUAAAGGGAGCGUAGGCGGACAUUUAAGUCAGGGGUGAAAUCCCAGAGCUCAACUCUGGA
rnacentral:rRNA from 1 species